rnacentral:rRNA from 1 species
CCUACGGGAGGCUGCAGUGGGGAAUAUUGCACAAUGGGGGAAACCCUGAUGCAGCGACGCCGCGUGCGUGAAGAAGUAUCUCGGUACGUAAAGCUCUAUCAGCAGGGAAGAAAAUGACGGUACCUGACUAAGAAGCCCCGGCUAACUACGUGCCAGCAGCCGCGGUAAUACGUAGGGGGCAAGCGUUAUCCGGAUUUACUGGGUGUAAAGGGAGCGUGGGCGGCAGCCCAAGGCUGGAGUGAAAUCCCGGGGCUUAAACCCGGAAAUGCUUUGGAAACUGUGCGGCUGGAGUGCAGGAGGGGUAAGCGGAAUUCCUAGUGUAGCGGUGAAAUGCGUAGAUAUUAGGAGGAACACCGGUGGCGAAGGCGGCUUACUGGACUGUAACUGACGUUGAGGCUCGAAAGCGUGGGGAGCAAACAGGAUUAGAUACCCCUGUAGUC